UACGAAGGGGGCUAGCGUUGCUCGGAAUCACUGGGCGUAAAGGGUGCGUAGGCGGGUCUUUAAGUCAGGAGUGAAAUCCUGGAGCUCAACUCCAGAACUGCCCUUGAUACUGAAGGUCUUGAGUUCGGGAGAGGUGAGUGGAACUGCGAGUGUAGAGGUGAAAUUCGUAGAUAUUCGCAAGAACACCAGUGGCGAAGGCGGCUCACUGGCCCGAUACUGACGCUGAUGCACGAAAGCGUGGGGAGCAAACAGG
rnacentral:rRNA from 1 species